rnacentral:rRNA from 1 species
AGAUUGAACGCUGGCGGCAUGCCUAACACAUGCAAGUCGAACGGGAGUAGCAAUACUCUAGUGGCGGACGGGUGAGGAAUACGUAGGAAUUUGCCCUUAAGUGGGGGAUAACCCGGGGAAACCCGGAUUAAUACCGCAUGACCUCGAAAGAGCAAAGUGGGGGAUCGCAAGACCUCACGCUUUUGGAGAAGCCUACGUCGGAUUAGCUAGUUGGUGAGGUAAUGGCUCACCAAGGCGACGAUCCGUAACUGGUCUGAGAGGAUGAUCAGCCACACUGGGACUGAGACACGGCCCAGACUCCUACGGGAGGCAGCAGUAGGGAAUAUUGGACAAUGGGCGCAAGCCUGAUCCAGCAAUGCCGCGUGAGUGAUGAAGGCCGUUA